rnacentral:rRNA from 1 species
GACGUAGGGGGCCAGCGUUGUUCGGAAUUACUGGGUGUAAAGGGUUCGUAGGCGGUGUGGCAAGUCGGGAGUGAAAUCUCGUGGGCUCAACCCAGAGUCUGCUUCCGAAACUGCUGUGCUUGAGUGUGGGAGAGGCGCGUGGAAUUGCAGGUGUAGCGGUGAAAUGCGUAGAUAUUCGCAAGAACACCAGUGGCGAAGGCGGCUCACUGGCCCGAUACUGACGCUGAGGCACGAAAGCGUGGGGAGCAAACAGG